GACAGAUCACACAAGCUCCUGUGAGUGUCACAUGUCAGCCUCAGAGCUGCUCAGGGGAUGCAUGGUUUGCCCUAGCUCUGGCGGUGAGGUCUUAUUUCAUGGCCCCAUUGGCCUCAGAGAACAGAGAGAACCAGCGGCUGAUAUUCAAGGAGAUUCCUGAUGAAAUGAGACCGAAUGACUGCAGAGACUGGCGCCACUGAAAAACAGAGGGAAAGAAAGGGCUUAUCGGAGAGUCCUCAGAUUAUGAUGAAAAUUCUUCAGGCAUUUAAAAGUCGACUUGUGAGAAGCCGCUGUAACCGUGCCAAGAGCCAGCUCUGUGGACCUCAGGAAUCUCAUGCUUCCAUCUCUGCUGCUGCCAACACCACGGUCAUGUUUUAUGUGUGCCCGUGUGAAUGGGGCCUCUGGGGAUCACAGACCCAGCUCCCCUCCCAGGUAGCGCCCUGCCCCAUGCAGGACUCUUCUCAACCCCAUGCUUCUAUAUCUGUGGGGAAGGUUGUUCCAAGCCCUUCCGGCCAAUGACACUCAGGCUUUUGGGUUGGGCAAAUUCUCAGGUCCCUCCGUGCCAUCCUACCCACUCUGGAGGGACUAACUAGUAUUUCUCUUAUAGCACUGAAAAAUAAAAUUUAUUUUGGGCCUCACAGAGCUCUAGGGACCACGUGGCUGUGUCAGCCCCAGGAGGAGGCAAGGAAAGGGUCCCUAUGGAGCCCAAAUCCGACAGGCAGAAGCCAGGUCAGAUGGUGCCCUGAGAACGUGCAGUCUAGAAGACCCAACCUGAGCCCUGACAACCCUCACCAGGAACUCAUAAGGAGGUGG
rnacentral:lncRNA from 1 species